rnacentral:rRNA from 1 species
AUACGGAGGGUGCAAGCGUUAAUCGGAAUUACUGGGCGUAAAGAGUACGUAGGUGGUUUAUUAAGUCAGAUGUGAAAGCCCCGGGCUUAACCUGGGAACUGCAUUUGAUACUGGCAAACUAGAGUAUGGUAGAGGCGGGUAGAAUUCCUAGUGUAGCGGUGAAAUGCGUAGAUAUUAGGAGGAAUACCAGUGGCGAAGGCGGCCCGCUGGACCAAUACUGACACUGAGGUACGAAAGCGUGAGUAGCGAACAGGAUUAGAUACCCCGGUAGUCC